rnacentral:rRNA from 1 species
CAAUAGCGUAUAUUAAAGUUGUUGCAGUUAAAAAGCUCGUAGUUGGAUUUCUGGUGGGAGCGAUCGGUCUGGCGCUUAGCGCGAGUACUUGCAUCGUCUCCGGCCAUCCUUGGGGAGAGUCUGUCUGGCAUUAGGUUGUCGGGCAGAGGAUCCUCAUCGUUUACUGUGAAAAAAUUAGAGCGUUCAAAGCAGGCUUAUGCCGUUGAAUAUAUUAGCAUGGAAUAAUAAGAUAGGACUUUGGUACUAUUUUGUUGGUUUGCGCACCAAAGUAAUGAUUAAUAGGGACAGUUGGGGGUAUUCGUAUUCCGUUGUCAGAGGUGAAAUUCUUGGAUUUACGGAAGACGAACUACUGCGAAAGCAUUUACCAAGGAUGUUUUCAUUAA